rnacentral:misc_RNA from 1 species
AUGGGACGGCCCGCUGGGCUGUUCCCGCCCCUAUGCCCUUUUUUGGGUUUCCGGCCAGAGGCAUGCUGGGAGCGUCACAUGCAAAUUGAGCGUGCACCCAGCGUUCCGCCCUUUCUACGCUGGGCCGGUUAUCGACCCGGCCCAGUGCGCAGGCGCGGGAAAGUUGAACUAAUAAAGUUUGUACGAGUUCAGUGGAGGAGACCGCAAGUUGAGUGGAGGAGGCGGCGGUGGGGCCCCGGACCAGGUCAGCGGGGUGUUGACGAGGGGUGGGGUGAGGAGGGAAGAGGAGGGGGCCGGGAUCCAGUGGUGGGCACCCCAGUCCCGCUUCUCUGAUAUCCAAGGGUCCAGGGUCCUCUAGAUUCCAGCAGGGGUCGGAGAUUUGGAACUACACCUCACAGCAGGCUGCGCGGCGAAGAAGCGCGGACCUAGGGGAAGAUUUGCCCUGAAACCUCUUGGGAUUGGUAGUUCCCGAUGCUUUAAGGGUUUCAGGAGUUUGGCAUAUGCCUCUUAUAGAAUCCAGGAGUUGGGGCGCUAAGCCUCUUCUUCCUGGGAGACCUAAGGGUCUGGGGCUCCAGUUCCUUUUUCUCUAAGACUCAGAAGUCCAGGACCCCAGCUCCCUCCUCCUUUAGACCCACGAAUCUGGGCACCCAGCCCCACCACCUUUCCUUGGAUCGAAGAGUCUUUUUCCUGAUCGCUUUUUCGUCUGAGGACUCAAGAGUCUAGGCCCCCAGACCCACACUCUCCAAAGGACCCAGGAGUCCAGGCCCUCAGCACCUUCCUUGGGACUCACAAGUCCUGGUCCCCAAGCCUCCACUUCUUGCUAAACCCUUGGAGUCCAGUCCCUAACCCUCUCUCUCACAGGUGCCUCCAUGGCAGGCUCUGAAGAGCUGGGGCUCCGGGAAGACACGCUGAGGGUCCUAGCUGCCUUCCUUAGGCGUGGUGAGGCUGCCGGGUCUCCUGUUCCAACUCCACCUAGGCCCAGCUACUCCAGACUUCUAUGCUUUGGUGGCCCAGCGGCUGGAACAGCUGGUCCAAGAGCAGCUGAAAUCUCCGCCCAGCCCAGAAUUACAGGGUCCCCCAUCGACAGAGAAGGAAGCCAUACUGCGGAGGCUGGUGGCCCUGCUGGAGGAGGAGGCAGAAGUCAUUAACCAGAAGGUGAUGGGCAUCUGUCCCACUCCUUGGCAAGGACAGGAGUUGCGGAAUGGAGGGCAUCCUGGCUGUUUCACCCGUGGACUUGAACUUGCCAUUGGACUGAGCUCUUUCUCAGAAGCUGCUACAAGAUGACACCUCAUGUCCCUGCCCUCUUCGUGUGCUUUUCCAAGUCUUCCUAUUCCACUCAGGGCUGUGGGGUGGUGGUUGCCCUACCUGUUUUUGCCAAAAAUAAAUUGUUUAAAACUUUUCUUAUUAAAAACGUUACAAAGUA